AGGGUGUAAACGCUGCAGACUUGGUGUUGGGAACCCUUCGGGGGUGCUCAGUGCCGGAGAGAAGUUGUUAAGUCUGCUACUUGGGGAGUACGUCCGCAAGGAUGAAACUUAAAGGAAUUGGCGGGGGAGCACCGCAACGGGAGGAGCGUGCGGUUUAAUUGGAUUCAACGCCGGACAUCUCACCAGAGGCGACAGCUGUAUGAUAGCCAGGUUGAUGACUUUGCUUGACUAGCUGAGAGGAGGUGCAUGGCGUCAGUGACU
rnacentral:rRNA from 1 species